rnacentral:rRNA from 1 species
CAGUCGCCGCGGGAAUACGAAGGUCCCGAGCGUUGUUCGGAAUCACUGGGCGUAAAGGGAGCGUAGGCGGCGUGGUAAGUCAGAUGUAAAAUCCCGGGGCUCAACCCCGGAACUGCAUCCGAUACUGCCAUGCUAGAGGAUUGGAGAGGUAGCUGGAAUUCUUGGUGUAGCAGUGAAAUGCGUGGAGAUCAAAAGGAACACUCGUGGCGAAAGCGAGCUACUGGAUAACAACUGACGCUGAGGCUCGAAGGCCAGGGUAGCGAAAGGGAUUAGAUACCCCUGUAGUCCCUGUCUCUUAUAC